AACCUAAAAUGAAUAUAUUUCACAUUUUUGACACCACAAAUCAAUAUUUUAUUUAAAUUAUUUAAGU
rnacentral:tRNA from 1 species